AUUUGCGUAGCCGACAGGCCAUAGCAUCAAAGGACAAACACCGACAAAAAUACAUUACAAAUAUAGAUACCAUAAAAUCUUAUGACCUAUUAAAACCCUAGGUAGAAACUGGAUUAUCAUUCAUCAAUGACCCUCUGUCCCAUGGGUGGCGGCCUUUUCUCUGGUAGAUUGUUCCAGGUCGGUUAAGUAAAUAGACCAGCCAAAUUGCAAGAUU